CUACGGGUCGCUCCAGGCGAGAAAACUUUGCAAUGUGCGAAAGCACGACAAGGUUAAUCCGAGUGGUUUGUGCUAAACGAACCUUUUGACAGUCCUAGAAACACUGUUGAAUAAGGGGUGGGCAAGUUCUGGUGUCAGCCGCCGCGGUAAAACCAGCACCUCAAGUGGUCAGGAUGAUUAUUGGGCCUAAGGCAUCCGUAGCCGGCUCUGUAAGUUUUCGGUUAAAUCUGUACGCUCAACGUACAGUCUGCCGGGAAUACUGCAGAGCUAGGGAGUGGGAGAGGUAGACGGUACUCGGUAGGAAGGGGUAAUAUCCUUUGAUCUAUUGAUGACCACCUGUGGCGAAGGCGGUCUACCAGAACACGUCCGACGGUGAGGGAUGAAAGCUGGGGGAGCAAACCGGAUUAGAUACCCCCGUAGUC
rnacentral:rRNA from 1 species